UCUCAGGCCAACCUGACUUGCCAGAGUUAGGGUCACUGUGCUCUCAGACUCUGGAAGAUGAACUCAAGGGAGCUGUGCUCUGAGCCCCCUGGGCCCCCUGCAGACAACUCUUCAACAAAUCCUCCAAGUACAUUCAUGAAUGUACUUACCAUGCUGCUCUCUCUCUUUAGAACUAUGACUAUUGUUAUCAUCACUGUACAAUGUUUUGAUGGAGAAAAAGCAGCCUUCCUCCUCCUCUUUUCUGCUAACAGUGACUUGAUUUUCCUCUGAGGAACCUUCUUCAACCCAUCCUGUCUGGUGACACCAUCAAUUAAGCUUCCCUGCCUCAACCUGUCAAGUGACGAAC
rnacentral:lncRNA from 1 species